GGGGGUAUAGCUCAGGGAUAAAGCACCUGAUUAGCAUGCAUGAGGUCCUGGGUUCAAUUUCCAGUAUUUCCA
rnacentral:tRNA from 1 species